GCCGAUGUAGCUCAGUUGGCAGAGCAUGCGCAUGGUAAGCGCAAGGUCGGCGGUUCGAUCCCGCCCAUCGGCU
rnacentral:tRNA from 1 species